rnacentral:rRNA from 1 species
UACGGAGGGUGCGAGCGUUGUCCGGAAUCACUGGGCGUAAAGGGCGCGUAGGCGGCGCAGGAAGUCAACGGUGAAAGCUCGGGGCUCAACCCUGAAUCGGCCGUCGAUACUCCUGGGCUCGAGCACUGUAGAGGCAGAUGGAAUUCCGGGUGUAGCGGUGGAAUGCGUAGAGAUCCGGAAGAACACCGGUGGCGAAGGCGGUCUGCUGGGCAGUUGCUGACACUGAGGCGCGACAGCGUGGGGAGCAAACAGG